rnacentral:miRNA from 1 species
UAGAAUGGUCUGGCGACGUAC